rnacentral:misc_RNA from 1 species
UCACACCUUGCGGUGGCAGUCCCGCUAGAGUCCCCAGCAUAACCUGAUGGCAACUAACGGCAAGGGUUGCGCUCGUUAUGGCACUUAAGCCGACACUUCACAGCACGAGCUGACGACAACCAUGCAGCACCUCGACAGAUGUCCGAAGACUAACCCAUCUCUGAGUUAUUCAUCUGCCGUUCGAGCCCGGGUAAGGUUCCUCGCGUAUCAUCGAAUUAAACCACAUGUUCCUCCGCUUGUGCGGGCCCCCGUCAAUUCCUUUGAGUUUCAACCUUGCGGUCGUACUCCCCAGGUGGAUGACUUAUCGCUUUCGCUUGGCCACCGACUGUAUAUCGCCGACGGUUAGUCAUCAUCGUUUACAGCGUGGACUAC